AAAGAAAGGAGGUGCAAAAAAGAAAAAGAAAAAAAGUAAGAUGGUGAUGCAUGCAAAAAUAGAAGAUAAAGCGUUGUUGGUGGAGAUGGAAUCAAGAACUGUUACAAGGGAGAAAAGGAAUUGAUAUAGGAGAGGAAUGAGGCUGACAUAGGGGGGAACAAGAUGAGGAAGUUGCCUAAUAUGAAAGAAGGAGAUGCAAAAAAUAAGAAAGAAAGAAAGAAAGAAGGAGAUGCACGCAAAGAAAGAAGAUAAAGAUCUGUUGGAGAGAUGAAAUCAACAACCUCAUGAACUAUUACAAGGGAGAAAAGGAGUUGAAGUAGGAGAGGAAUAGGCUGACACAGUUCUGAACAUGCAAGGGAAGAAGAGAAAACUGCCCACUCUAGGACAUGCUCCAGAUCCCAUGACGUGCAGAAGCUGACCAACACAAGGGCAAAUAAAAUCAAACUCAGGGGAGAAAGCUUUGGUUCUAGUUUCGGAUUGAAGUUGACAGUUCCCACACAAGACCUUCUACCAACCAAUCCUCGG